rfam:Microdochium bolleyi strain J235TASD1 unplaced genomic scaffold Micbo1qcscaffold_6, whole genome shotgun sequence.
GGUCGAUUGGCCCAGUGGUUAAGGCAUCCGCUUUACAAUCCCUCCCUCUCUACAAGAGAGAUGAUCGCGGAGGAUCGCAGGUUCGAUCCCUGCAUCGAUCA